GCAGACACAUUCCAGCCAAUCAGCAGCAGACCCUCCCUCCCAGACCCUCCCACCUCCUGGACAGCAUCCAUUUUACAUUCAUUGUGAAGCUGCAUUCUUAGUGAGCUGUCCAGGAGGUGGGAGGGUCUGGGAGGGAGGGUCUGCUGCUGAUUGGCUGGAAUGUGUCUG